UACGUAGGGUGCGAGCGUUGUCCGGAAUUAUUGGGCGUAAAGAGCUUGUAGGCGGUCUGUCGCGUCUGCUGUGAAAAUCCGGGGCUCAACCCCGGACUUGCAGUGGGUACGGGCAGACUAGAGUGUGGUAGGGGAGACUGGAAUUCCUGGUGUAGCGGUGAAAUGCGCAGAUAGCAGGAGGAACACCGAUGGCGAAGGCAGGUCUCUGGGCAUUAACUGACGCUGAGGAGCGAAAGCAUGGGGAGCGAACAGG
rnacentral:rRNA from 1 species